rnacentral:rRNA from 1 species
UACGAAGGGUGCAAGCGUUAAUCGGAAUUACUGGGCGUAAAGCGCGCGUAGGUGGUUCGUUAAGUUAGGAGUGAAAGCCCCGGGCUCAACCUGGGAAUUGCUUCUAAAACUGGAGAACUAGAGUAUGGUAGAGGGUGGUGGAAUUUCCUGUGUAGCGGUGAAAUGCGUAGAUAUAGGAAGGAACAUCAGUGGCGAAGGCAACCACCUGGACUAAUACUGACACUGAGGUGCGAAAGCGUGGGGAGCAAACAGG